CGAAGCUCCAUUUCUCUUGUGGCAAUGUCUCCUGUUGUGGCCGUUUUCUUUCUGCUGAUGUGCUCAGCAUUGCCUCUGGAAGCUCAAUCCCAUGACUCGCAGCCCUGGGAUCACUCGAAGGAGGGUGUUCUAGAAGGGAUGGAGGUAGAGGGUACAGGAGAAAUCCCCGGUACCUGUUUUGUAUGUAAGCGCAUCAUGGAGUCUGUGCAAGAGAGACUGUCUGACA